UUAAGUUCAGCGGGUAUUCCUACCUGAUCCGAGGUCAACCUUGAAAAUUUGGGGGUUUUACGGCCAGAACCCGCUACACGUCCUGAGCGAAGAGUAAACUACUGCACUCGGUAUAUAGCGAGCCCGCCACUAUUUUUAGGAGGCUGCGGACGGCCGCAGGGCCCCAACACAAGCCUAAGGCUUGAUGGUUGAAAUGACGC
rnacentral:misc_RNA from 1 species